AGGACGAACGCUGGCGGCGUGCUUAACGCAUGCAAGUCGAACGAAGCACAGGGAACUGAGAUUCGUCAAAGGGACCUGUGACUUAGUGGCGGACGGGUGAGUAAUGUAUGAGCAACCUGCCCUUCAGAGGGGGACAACAGUUGGAAACGACUGCUAAUACCGCAUGAUGUAUCCGGGAGGCAUCUUCCGGAUACCAAAGAUUAUAUCGCUGAGGGAUGGGCUCAUAUCUGAUUAGCUGGUUGGUGGGGCAACGGCCUACCAAGGCGACGAUCAGUAGCCGGACUGAGAGGUUGACCGGCCACAUUGGGACUGAGAUACGGCCCAGACUCCUACGGGAGGCAGCAGUGGGGAAUAUUGGGCAAUGGGCGCAAGCCUGACCCAGCAACGCCGCGUGAAGGAAGAAGGCCUUCGGGUUGUAAACUUCUUUUAUGCAGGACGAAGAAGUGACGGUACUGCAUGAAUAAGCCACGGCUAACUACGUGCCAGCCGCUGC
rnacentral:rRNA from 1 species